rnacentral:tRNA from 1 species
GUCCCUGUCGUCUAAAGGUUAGGACACCAGCCUUUCAAGCUGGUAAUCGGGGUUCAAUUCCCCGCAGGGAUACCA